rnacentral:lncRNA from 1 species
GGGUGGAGAGAGAGAGAGAGAGAGGAGAAGAAGAGAGGAGAGGGUGUGUGGAUGGUGGGGUAGAGAGAGAGAAAAGAAAAAGAAGAGAGAAGAGGAGGAGAGAAGAAAUACGGUGAGAGAGGUGGAGAGAGAGAGAGAGGAGGAUGUGGUUCUUCUCAACAUUCGGGAUGGGGGGGAUUAUCAGAGGAGGAAGGGGAUCAGGAUGGGGGGGGUUGUCGGAGGAGGAAGAGGAUUGGGAUGGGGGGCUUGUCGAAGGAGGAAGAGGAUCGGGAUGAGGGGCUGUUCUCGGAGGAGGAAAUCGAUCAGCAUGGGGGGGUUCUUGGAGAGGGAAGGGGACCGGUUGGGGGCGUUCUCAGAAGAGAAAGACAAUCGAGAUGGGGGGUUCUCGGAGGGGGAAGGCGACUGGGAAGGGAAGGUUUCUCAGAGGGCGAAGGGGACCGAGAUGGGGGGGUUGUUGGAGGAGGGAGACCAAGAUGGGGGGUUUGUUGGAGGAGAAAGGAGAUUGAGAUGAGUGGAGAGAGAGAGAGAGAGGAAAAGAAAAUAAUAGUGGUGGGAAGAAGAGAAGAGAGAAGAGNNNNNNNNNNNNNNNNNNNNGAGAUGAGUGGAGAGAGAGAGAGAGAGGAAAGAAAAAUAAUAUGGUGGGAGAAGAGACAGAGAGAAGAGGAGAAGAAUAGGGUGUGAAUGCUAGGGUGGAGAGAGAGGGGAAAAGAAAAGAAGAGAGAAGGGGUAGGAGAGGAGGAUGCAAAUGGUCAAACCAAAGCGAUAGUGAGAUGGAAAAGGAUAAUGGUGGUUAGAGAUGGAAGGUGGUGGUGAUUGAGAGGUAGGAAAGGGAGUCAUAUUAAUGACUCAUUUGGUUUAUGAAAAAUGAAGGAGGAAAGAGGCAAUUCUUAAGAAAUAGAAUGAAAGCCUCUUAUUUGGUUAGAGUUUUAAGAGGACAAAGAAUGAAAAAAAGCUUUUCUUAUGAUAAGAUGCUUUCUAUAUUUCAUGAAAAAUGAAUAUCCAUGAAGGAGAUGGGCUUUGGAACCUUCCAUGGGAUAGAAAGUGAUAAUACUUUUUUUCUUUCCAAAAAUACCUUUUUAAGAUCCAUGACUAAGAUUUUGUAAAAUAUCAAUGGAUGGUUAGGAUAAAAUAAUGAAUAGUGAUAUAUGUCAAUGUCUUC